UACGUAGGGUGCAAGCGUUGUCCGGAAUUAUUGGGCGUAAAGAGCUCGUAGGCGGUUUGUCGCGUCUGCUGUGAAAACCCGAGGCUCAACCUCGGGCCUGCAGUGGGUACGGGCAGACUAGAGUGCGGUAGGGGGGAUUGGAAUUCCUGGUGUAGCGGUGGAAUGCGCAGAUAUCAGGAGGAACACCAAUGGCGAAGGCAGGUCUCUGGGCCGUAACUGACGCUGAGGAGCGAAAGCAUGGGGAGCGAACAGG
rnacentral:rRNA from 1 species